UCCCUCGUUAUAAUUAAGAUUAGAUUACUGCUUGUUAUUUUAGGUGUUUGCUUUUUUUUUUGCUUUUUUAAAAAAAAAAUAGUUUAAAUGUACUUUUGUAAAUGACUUUAUGUGUAUUUAAGUGGGGUAUAUUAAGUCAUUUUCCCUGGGGGGGGGCUCUUCUGCAUCUCAGUAUCCAAUUGUAGUCAAUUGCAGUGAACUCGAUUUAGUCCUUGGCAGUUUAAAUUGGGUAGCAGCUAGUUCUGUGAUUACCAAGGCUAUCAAGUUAAUUGUGACUUCUUUGCAGACACCUAGCGUGCAACUCAAUAUUUCUUCAAAUCUUGCGAUCAGGCGUGACUUAUUGAUCCUCAAAAAGACAAAUUUAAGAAGCAUGUUUGCCGAUUGUAAGGACUAGGUCAAAUUAAACACUUAGGUUCACUGCCGUUGUUACUAAACCAGGGAAUUCAGUUUCUUCCACCAGUACCUGGGGUGGAAUCUUCUCUUUACUGUGUAUGUUAAAAUCGUUAAUAGUUAACAUGAUUAUUGUUAUAGUUGCUAUGGUGAGAAAUUGUUUUCAGCUUCUGAAGAUUUCUAAGAUGCGUUUACAAGUUUUAUCUGAGCCUUUUCCCUAUUUUUCAGUCAAGCCGUUAAAUAAAAUGGACUUCAGACUCGCUUACAAGAAAGUAAACCCCUUAAUGUCUCAUUGUGUUCUUGGUACACAGGUCAGCCUCUUAAUGUUGUUAAUUUCCUAUACCCAGUAAAUUGUAUGUAUGUUUUGUUUUUGGAUUUUUUUUCCAUUUAAAAUAAAACUUUUUACUCUAUAGAAGUUACUUUUAUUUGAGGAAAUAUGCUUUAUUUAAAUCAGUUAAUGAUCCAUUUUUUCUACAGUGUUUGAAUAUUUCACUUGAUUCCAAAUUGGAUGAUGGAUGCAGGCCAUGUGCGUCCUUCUGUUGUACUUGAUACAGCUGCGUACUGAGCUCUUUGCUGUUUCCAUCUAGGUCUUCCAUGUUUCAAGUGGUCUUGCCCAUUACUUGUCAUGUAUAUUACGUGCAGCUUAACUAGUUUUCACAUACACUUUAAUGGAAUUUCUUUUUUCCUUUCUACAAAGAAAAUAGUGCCCUUUAAGUACCACGAAAAACCCGGCUCCCAGGUUCUCAUGUUUAAUGUUAAACCUAACCUUCUGUGGCAAACUAAAUAUAUAAGUGUCUUUUCCCAAGUGGAGCCUAAGCCUCCUGUUUCAGUACUGUUUAGUCAACAAAAAGCUGGAUUCAUACUGUUAGCUGUGUCUUCUGCACCGUGGAAAUCUCCAAGUGUGUACUCCAGAGAGCUGUAGAAACUGAUCUCCGAAAGUCCAUAGGAAAUGCAACUCAGCCCUCAGUAACGAAGGUCUUACCGGAGUCUGGCUUAGUGUUCCUUAGUGCUCCUCAAGAUAUUUAUGCGACCAAAAGCAAGGAGAGCAGCGUUAAUAUUCAAGGUUUGUGACUUUAGGUAUGUCUAUCUUAUGCUUCAUAAUCAUCUACCCCCCCCUCCCUUCACUCAAACCAAAAUUAUACUCAUUGUUUGUGAUCAUGUUUUACUAGGUGUUGCAUUCCAUAAUUAAGUUUGAGAGCCACGAGAAAUCUAAAGUUAUUUUGUUUUUAAAAAAAACUAGGUGAUUCCUAAAAAGGUUUAAGUUAUAGUGUUUUGAAAUUUUGAUUGGGAAGAUCUUGGAAAAACACGAUGUCCUAAAAGUCAAAGCUGGGGAUAGCAGAUAGGGGAAUAGUCUUGCCACACUGUAUUUUAAAUUCCUAAUUGGCAUUUCUUUAUCAAUUGAGGCUUUGUCUUUUUGACAUCUCUAAUAUAAUUGCCCGAUACCUUGUUUUAAUAUUUGCCUGAUUGGUGAAAGCACUAAACUUUUUAGCUGUGUGCACAAUUAAUAGUGUUCUGCUGAAUGCUUACUCAUAAGGACCCUUUUAGAAAGGCUCUAGGGUUGUGAUUAUUCAGUUAUCAAGCAAGAAGUUAAUGAAAUCUAUGGGCUUGUUCUGGUAAUUUUGGUACCUGGGAUCACAGGCAUAAGUGUGAGAACCAUAAGAAAGUACUCAGAAAUUCCUUCCAGGGAUUUGUGAUGGAAGUUUUUUUUUAUGAUUUGAUCAAAUCAAAAACACAUCUUCCCUAACUGAGAAGACUUCAGGGUGUAUUGGUGUUUGACUUAGUGUGUUCUGAAUUACAGCUGCCCAGUCAUUAAAGGUAUCUUUUUUUUUUUCUUUUCCUUCCCCUCAUUCCAGAACGCAGCCUGCGUAAUGCUGGAAUUUGAAACCCUUUCCUAAAUUACCUUUCCCAAAGUACCGUCGACUGAACAGGAUCCGCAAAGAGCCUGGUCCUGAUCUUGGAAGGAGAAGGGAAGCACAUUGUAUCAGAGGCUAUCCUGGAGCUCAGCUGGCUGGCGUGAAGUUGGCGUGUGCUCUCCGUGUGCUGCCCGGAGCUGCCCCGCGUGCCCCGCCAGCUGCCCAGAGCAGCUCUCAUGCGAUGACUGUUUUACAGGUCACGCAGACUUGGCUACGAAUCCACGGACUGGAAUAUCACUGAUGGGCGCUCUUUUUAAAAAAAAAAACGAAAAGCGGUGGAAAAAAAUAUUGUGAUUUAAAAAAAUAUAUAUUUAAUAAAAGUAUUUGAGUAUCGGUGCC